rnacentral:rRNA from 2 species
CGACCAGGGCUACACACGUGCUACAAUGGCGCAUACAAAGAGAAGCGACCUCGCGAGAGCAAGCGGACCUCAUAAAGUGCGUCGUAGUCCGGAUUGGAGUCUGCAACUCGACUCCAUGAAGUCGGAAUCGCUAGUAAUCGUGGAUCAGAAUGCCACGGUGAAUACGUUCCCGGGCCUUGUACACACCGCCCGUCACACCAUGGGAGUGGGUUGCAAAAGAAGUAGGUAGCUUAACCUUCGGGAGGGCGCUUACCACUUUGUGAUUCAUGACUGGGGUGAAGUCGUAACAAGGUAACCGUAGGGGAACCUGCGGUUGGAUCACCUCCUUACCUUAAAGAAGC